rnacentral:rRNA from 1 species
AGCAGCCGCGGUAAUUCCAGCUCCAAUAGCGUAUAUUAAAGUUGUUGCAGUUAAAAAGCUCGUAGUUGAAUUUCGGGAUUCUACCGUUGGUCAGGCUAUUGUCUGUACUGGCGUGUAGAAUUUCUACCUUCUGGGGAACUAUCAUGUUAUUAAUUUAGCGUGGUAGGAAACCAGGACCUUUACCUUGAAAAAAUUAGAGUGUUCAAAGCAGGCUUAUGUCUGAAUACAUUAGCAUGGAAUAAUAAAAUAGGACGGUGGUCCUGUUUUGUUGGUUUCUGAAUCACCGUAAUGAUUAAUAGGGAUAGUUGGGGGCAUUAGUAUUCAAUUGUCAGAGGUGAAAUUCUUGGAUUUAUUGAAGACUAACUACUGCGAAAGCAUUUGCCAAGGAUGUUUUCAUUAAUCAAGAACGAAAGUUAGGGGAUCGAAGACGAUCAGAUACCGUCGUAGUCUUAACCAUAAACUAUGCCGACUAGGGAUCGGACGAUGUUAACUUUCUUGACUCGUUCGGCGCCUUACGGGA